UUUUAUAUAAGGAUAACUACAGAAAAUCUGUAGCUAAUACUUGUAAAAGUACAUUGCUCCUCGGAGUAAAUCAGUAUGUAUUUGUUAAGGCAUCCAAGAAAAAAUGAUAUUAAAGGAAUUAUAACAAAGAAGUUACACCACAACAACCGUUAUAGUGUGUAUCAAUCGAGUUUCUGACCUAUCAGCUUUUGAUGUUAGGGUAUUGGCCUAACAUGGCUAUGACGGGUAACGGGGAAUUAGAGUUCGAUUCCGGAGAGGGAGCCUGAGAAAUAGCUACCACAUCUAAGGAAGGCAGCAGGCGCGUAAAUUACCCAAUUCUAAAUAAGAGAGGUAGUGACAAGAAAUAACAAUAUAAGGCCAAAUUUUGGUUUUAUAAUUGGAAUGAUGGGAAUUUAAAACCUUCCCAAAAAUCAAUUGGAGGGCAAGUCUGGUGCCAGCAGCCGCGGUAAUUCCAGCUCCAAUAGCGUAUAUUAAAAUUGUUGCAGUUAAAACGCUCGUAGUUGAACUUCAAGGGUAUCAUUAUUUUAAGCAACUCACUUGGCGAGAUCUUGGCUCUGCCUCGCUAUCUCUAUGCCUCGUUGCAGUUCUUUUAAUUACCGGCCCUUUGAGAGCCCUUUGAGCAAUCACUGGGUUUCUCGUUACUUUGAGUAAAUUAGAGUGUUCAAAGCAAACAUUUAAAGCGUUUUCGCGUUUGAAUACUAUAGCAUGGAAUAACAAAAUUGAACAAGUCAAAUUUGUUCUUUUUUCUUAUUUUGGCUUAGUUACGAUUAAUAGGAGUAGCUUGGGGGCAUUUGUAUUCAGAUGUCAGAGGUGAAAUUCUUAGAUUUUCUGGAGACAAACAACUGCGAAAGCAUUUGCCUAAAAUACUUCCAUUAAUCAAGAACGAAAGUUAAGGGAGUGAAGACGAUCAGAUACCGUCGUAAUCUUAACCAUAAACUAUGCCGACUAGGUUUUGGAUGAAAAUUUUUAAAUAAGGUUUCCCUCCGGGGAUUCCUUAGAUUGCUUCCUUCAGUACCUUAUGAGAAAUCAAAGUCUUUGGGUUCUGGGGCGAGUA
rnacentral:rRNA from 1 species